CCUACGGGUGGCAGCAGUGAGGAAUAUUGGUCAAUGGACGAGAGUCUGAACCAGCCAAGUAGCGUGAAGGAUGACUGCCCUAUGGGUUGUAAACUUCUUUUAUAUGGGAAUAAAAUGUUCCACGUGUGGGAUUUUGUAUGUACCAUAUGAAUAAGGAUCGGCUAACUCCGUGCCAGCAGCCGCGGUAAUACGGAGGUUGCGAGCGUUAUCCGGAUUUAUUGGGUUUAAAGGGAGCGUAGGUGGAUUGUUAAGUCAGUUGUGAAAGUUUGCGGCUCAACCGUAAAAUUGCAGUUGAAACUGGCAGUCUUGAGUACAGAAGAGGUGGGCGGAAUGCGUGGUGUAGCGGUGAAAUGCUUAGAUAUCACGAAGAACUCCGAUUGCGAAGGCAGUUCACUGGACUGCAACUGACACUGAGGCUCGAAAGUGUGGGUAUCAAACAGGAUUAGAUACCCUUGUAGUC
rnacentral:rRNA from 1 species